AGAGUUUGAUCCUGGCUCAGGAUGAACGCUGGCGGCGUGCUUAACACAUGCAAGUCGAACGGACUUUAAAUGAAACCUAGUGAUUUUAAAGUUAGUGGCGGACGGGUGAGUAACGCGUGGGUAACCUGCCUUGUACUGGGGGACAACAGUUGGAAACGACUGCUAAUACCGCAUAAGCGCACAGCUUCGCAUGAAGCAGUGUGAAAAACUCCGGUGGUACAAGAUGGACCCGCGUCUGAUUAGCUGGUUGGUGAGGUAACGGCUCACCAAGGCGACGAUCAGUAGCCGGCCUGAGAGGGUGAACGGCCACAUUGGGACUGAGACACGGCCCAAACUCCUACGGGAGGCAGCAGUGGGGAAUAUUGCACAAUGGGGGAAACCCUGAUGCAGCGACGCCGCGUGAGUGAAGAAGUAUUUCGGUAUGUAAAGCUCUAUCAGCAGGAAAGAAAAUGACGGUACCUGACUAAGAAGCCCCGGCUAACUACGUGCCAGCAGCCGCGGUAAUACGUAGGGGGCAAGCGUUAUCCGGAUUUACUGGGUGUAAAGGGAGCGUAGACGGUGAGGCAAGUCUGAAGUGAAAUGCCGGGGCUCAACCCCGGAACUGCUUUGGAAACUGUCUGACUAGAGUGCAGGAGAGGUAAGUGGAAUUCCUAGUGUAGCGGUGAAAUGCGUAGAUAUUAGGAGGAACACCAGUGGCGAAGGCGGCUUACUGGACUGUAACUGACGUUGAGGCUCGAAAGCGUGGGGAGCAAACAGGAUUAGAUACCCUGGUAGUCCACGCCGUAAACGAUGAUUACUAGGUG
rnacentral:rRNA from 1 species